rnacentral:rRNA from 1 species
AGUGAACGCUGGCGGUAGGCCUAACACAUGCAAGUCGAACGGCAGCACAGUAAGAGCUUGCUCUUACGGGUGGCGAGUGGCGGACGGGUGAGGAAUACAUCGGAAUCUACUUUUUCGUGGGGGAUAACGUGGGGAAACUUACGCUAAUACCGCAUACGACCUACGGGUGAAAGCAGGGGAUCUUCGGACCUUGCGCGAUUGAAUGAGCCGAUGUCGGAUUAGCUAGUUGGCGGGGUAAAGGCCCACCAAGGCGACGAUCCGUAGCUGGUCUGAGAGGAUGAUCAGCCACACUGGAACUGAGACACGGUCCAGACUCCUACGGGAGGCAGCAGUGGGGAAUAUUGGACAAUGGGCGCAAGCCUGAUCCAGCCAUACCGCGUGGGUGAAGAAGGCCUUCGGGUUGUAAAGCCCUUUUGUUGGGAAAGAAAAGCAGCAGGUUAAUACCCCGCCGUUCUGACGGUACCCAAAGAAUAAGCACCGGCUAACUUCGUG